rnacentral:ncRNA from 1 species
CCUUCGAUGUCGGCUCUUCCUAUCAUUGUGAAGCAGAAUUGACCAAGCGUUGGAUUGUUCACCCACUAAUAGGGAACGUGAGCUGGGACCAUCCUGAGACACGUU